rnacentral:tRNA from 1 species
GAGGGUAUAGCUCAGUGGUAGAGCACGUGCUUAGCAUGCCCAAGCUCCUCAGUUCAAUCCCCAGUACCUCCA